GAGGAGAGGAGAGGAGAGGAGAGGAGAGGAGAGGAGAGGAGAGGAGAGGAGAGGAGAGGAGAGGAAGAAGUCAGGGAUUCUGUCACAGAGCAAAAAGCUAGAGGUCUUCUGACUAAAUUGUGAGCUCAGGAGAGCAGAGCUGUUGUCUGUGCUGUACAGAUAAGAAGGGAAUCAGUUGAUAAGGGUUUCUUGUGACGUCAUUCCAGCAUAUACUGCCAAUCCCUCUUCCUGCCUCAGUAGUUAGAAAAAGUUUACAGAGAAACUUUUUGUCUUUACUUUCAGUAGUUGAUAAGAGUGUCUUCAAACUGCCUUGUAUGUUACUAGGAGAAAGCAACUUCACAAUGUAAAAGGACCAUAUUCAUAUAUACAUGAAUACACAUUGAGCUCACUAGAUUCUCAGUUCUAGAGGUUGUAUAUUCAAUAACACAUGCAUGCAAAUAUGCAGUCUCCUCCAAAACAGACUUUUCUCAAAGCUCAAAUGCAUGGAGAGACAUUCCACUGUCCUGUGGCACCUGGUAGAAUGAAGGCUUGCAUAUCCAACUGAUAGUAUGGAAAAUAUAAGCCUCAGUUUUUAAUAUCAGUGAUAGAUUUUGGGCUGCUGAGUCCUCUGAAUUAGAGGACCAAGACCAGAAGAGCAGUGACUUCCCAACUGUGGCCACAGAAAUUGUAAAGAAACAGUUGUAUAAGCUCAAUGUUCAUAAGUCUAUAGGGCCUGAUGUGAUUCAUCCUAGAGUGCUGAAGGAGUUAAUAGAUGGUAUAGCUGGACCCUUUCCAACAACUUGCCAAAGGUAGUGGGAGGCCACUGCUGGCUUGAAUCUAGACACUGUUACACUGAUCAACACUAAGGCAGGAGAGAGUACCCAGAAAACAGACCUGAUAGUCUGUUAGUCUUAAGGAUAUUAUCUGCUAUUGGAAGAUACUUAAAGAACAAAGACUUUAUCAGGCAUAGUCAGCAGGAAUUCAUGAAAGGCAUGUCCUGCCUUAGUAUUUUUAUCUCCUAUUGUAAGAUCUUUGGCUUCGUGGAUGAAGAGAAGACAGUGAAUGCAAUCUUUCUGGAUUUUAAUAAGAUGUUUGAUACCUUCUCUCACAGCAUCCUUCUGGAGAAACUGCUCAACUAUGAGCCAGCAGUGUGUCCUGACAGCCAAAAGGACAAACCACAUUUUGGGGUGUGUUAGACACAGCACAGCCAGCUGCUCAAAAGAGGCAAUUCUUCAGCUAUAUUUAGUGCUGGUGCAACCACCUCUUAAAUACCAUGUGCAGUUCUGUGCUCCACAAUAUAGAGGGAAAGUUAAAAUACUUGAAUGGAUGCAAAAGAGGGUAUCAAAGCUGGUAAAAGUGCUAGAAGAUGUGUCCUGGGAGGAAAAGCUGAGGAUGUUCUGGCUGACUGGUAUAGAUGAAAGGAGGUAACGUUAUUUGUCUCUAAAACUUCCUGAAGGGAAAUGGAGAGAGAGGUGCCAUUUACUUUUUCCUGCUAACAGAUGAAAGGACACAAAGGAACAGCACAAAGAUAUGAUAAGGGAGGUUCAGACUGGGUAACAGGAAAAAUUAGAGUGAAGGUGGUUGAAAACAGGAGAGGCUUCCUAGUGAGGCAGUUCAUGUCCCAUGCCUGUCAGUGUUCGAGGGACAUUUGGACAAUGCCCUAUUAAUAUUCUUCAUCUUUUUGCUAACUCUCAGACAGUUAAUUACAUGCUCUUCGUAGGUCCCCUCCACCUCUCCUGUCGUCUCCUCUCCUCUCCUGUCGUCUCCUCUCCUGUCGUCUCCUCUCCUGUCGUCUCCUCUCCUCUCCUCUCCUCUCCUCUCCUCUCCUCUCCUCUCCUCUCCUCUCCUCUCCUCUCCUCUCCUCUCCUCUCCUCUCCUCUCCUCUCAAGUGAGGAUGGGGCUUAGCCCUGAAGUUUUCAAGGGUUCCCCUUGCAUGCAGGAGGAACAGGGGUGCCCUCCGGCUGAGGAGAGGACCCCGUGCGUGGAGGUUCAGCUGCCUCCAGCUCUUCUCCCCGACUUGCUUUCCCGUGCUGUGGAGGAAGGGCACGUCUCCGCAGCUGACAUCUCCCUUGGGCCUGCGCUUGCACCGAGCCGCUGCCAGAACGGGAACUGCAGGCGUCUGUUGAACAACAAAGCAAACGCCCAAGCAUUUCGGGUGUGAUGUCCCCAGCAUUCCAAGGAGAGAUUACGCAGCAGCAGCCCAAACGUCU
ensembl:lncRNA